UGGGCGUCAGUCCCUGGGGAUAGGGUGGGAGGGCUGUGAGGUUUGUUAGGAAUGCAGAUUCCCAGGCACCACUUUGUGAUAACACAGUAGGUAGGGCCCAGGAAUCUGCCCCUUUUGGAUCAGGCUUCCCAGAUGAUUCUAAUUUGCAGUCAUGUUGGGAGCUAUGGCCCCAGAUGAGCCCUAAAAUAGGGCAACAUGUGGGACAAAUUCAAAGUUUCAUUUGAGAGAUCACCUCUGUGGCUGCUCAUUUAGUCGCAUCCUCAAAUCAGCCCACUCAGGGCACAGAGGGCAGGGACCCAGGAAGUUCCUUAUCGACACAGAGUCUCUCACCUUAACAAGAAGAGCAGCUGCUUUUUCAAGAACCUUCAUGUGUUCCAGGCCAUAAAAAGCAAGGGAGCAAAACAGCUACACAGAGGCCAUCGCUGAAGGCCAGGAGAGGUCUGAGUUCACCACCUCUCCCAGGUAUAUUCGGGUACUGCUCCUCCGACCCAGUGCUGUGUUUUAGGAAGUCAGCUGGCUUUAGCAAUACGGUGUUACUGAAUCAAUGAAGAUCUCUUGGCCCCUAAAUCCUGUUGGUCAACCUGGUCUUGAACUUGCCUACCAGCCGCCCAGGUUCUGAAGGCGCUCAAGUGUUCUUGCAUCAGCCUUUACUGGCCUCAAGUCUACCCGGCGAUAGCUGAUGCAUAAGUGAUUCCUAAGUUUCCAUUCGCGAGGGAUGCAAGGUUUCUUUUUAAGAGUUAAAGGGUCAUUGGAUCCCAGCAAGUCAGUCUGGUCUAAGCCACCCCUGCGAACUUCAGUGACUGCCCCUGCGGACAGAGUCUGUUGCUGCUGCUGCUGCUGCUGCUGCUAAGUCGCUUCAGUCGUGUCCGACUCCGUGCGACCCCAUAGACGGCAGCCCACCAGGCUCUGCCGUCCUUGGGAUUCUCCAGGCAAGAACACUGGAGUGGGUUGCCAUUUCCUUCUCCAACGUAUUAAAGUGAAAAGUGAAAGUGAAGUCGCUCAGUCGUGUCCGACUCUUCGCGACCCCAUGGACUGCAGCCUACCAGGCUCUUCCACCCAUGGGAUUUUCCAGGCAAGAGUACUGGAGUGGAUUGCCAUUGCCUUCUCCCCGACAGAGUCUAAGAGUGGCUAUUUACCAGAAUGGGGCAGAAUCUGGGCCCUGAACCCAAGGUAGUCAUUCUCAAGGGCAAAUGUUGCCCUUCUGGGGACUGUGAUGAAUCCAUCCUCCAUUAAGCACCUACUAUAUGAUGGUUCUGUACAGAGGGCUGGAAAUAUUAGUAACACUAGCAAAACUUCGUAUGUGCCGGUCACUGUUAUAAUCCUCAUUAACAACUUAUAGAUGCUAUAGCUACCUUAGUUUCAAAGAACUGAAAUCAUGGCUUCUGGUCUCAUCACCUCAUGGCACAUAGAUGGGGAAAAAAUGAAGCAGUGACAGGCUUUAUUUUCUUGAGCUUCAAAAUCACUGCAAAUGGUGACUGCAGCCAUGAAAUUAAAAGAUGCUUGCUCUUUGGAAGAAAAGCUAUGACAAACCUAGACAACAUAUUAAAAACCAGAGACAUCUCUCAGAGACAUCACUUUGCCAACAAAGGUCCGUAUAGUCAAAGUUAUGGUUUUUCCAGUAGUCAUGUAUGGAUGUGAGAGUUGAACCAUAAAGAAGGCUGAGUGAUGAACUGAUGCUUUCAAAUUGUGGUGCUGGAGAAGACUUUUGAGAGUUGUUUGGACAGCAAGGAGAUCAAACCAGUCAAUCCUAAAGAAAUCAACCCUGAAUAUUCAUUGGAAGGACUGAUGCUGAAGCUGAAGCUCCAAUCCUUUGGCCACCUGAUGUGAAAAGCUGACUCACUGGAAAAGACCAUGAUGCUGGAAAAUAUUGAGGGCAGGAGGAGAAGGGUGCGACAGAGGAUGAGAUGGUUGGAUGGCAUUAUCAAUUCAAUGAACAUGAGUUUGAGCAAAUUCCAGGAGAUAGUGAAGGACAGGCAAGGCUGGUGUGCUGCAGUCCAUGGGGUUGCAAAGAGUUGGACAUGACUGAGCAACUGAACAACAUAGCUACCUUAGUUUUACAAAGGAAAAGGGAGGCAUAGUGAAAUAAAAUAAUCUACCAACAUUUCACAUUUAGUAAGUGGCAGAGUAUGGUUGGGACACAGGAAAGUAAACACAUUUGGGUUUAAUGCCCACAAUAGGAAUAUACAGAAGGUUCAGAGAUGUUUAAGACACGGUCCUGUGGGGAGGGGAGAGUCAGGAAGAUUUUUCUGAAAGAGAUAAUGUCUGAGCUCAAUUUAGAGAAAGGAAUGGGAGCUUCCUUCUUCUAAGGAAGGACAUGGUAAACAUUUUUCAAGCAUUAAGAAGGGUUGGUGAAGAAGUGGAGAUUGGAAUGAGGCUAAAACAAUAGAAAAAGACCAAAUCUAAGUGUUUUCUUCCUGUAGGAAUUGAAGGAUAUUAAUUUGACCUUUGGUAAGUAGAAAGUCAGAAGGAUUUUAAGCAUGGGAGACAUAUCAAAUGUUCUAGAAAGGUUUCUCUGAAAACAGCGUAGAAAACAUCAGAGCUGCGAAACUUGCUUAUGAAGUCAUUGCAAGGAUGGAUCAGUUAGGAUACAGCUCAGUCGUGUCUCUUUGUGACCCCAUGGACUGUAGCCCACCAGGCUUUUCUGUCCAUGGGUAUUCUCCGGGCAAGAAUAGUGGAGUGGGUUGCCAUGCCCUCCUCCAGGGGAUCUUCCCGACCCAGAGACUGAACCCAGGUCUCCUGCAUUGCAGGCAGAUUCUUUACUGCCUGAGCCACCAGGGAAGCCCUAGCAUAUAGCAGUAGGCAAAAUACGAAUUUCAGAAAAGAUGUCCCCACCUGAAUCCCCAGAACCUAUGAAUAUGUUACCUUACAUGGCAAAAAGGACUUGGCAGGUGUGAUUAAGGUUAAAGAGAAUGAGAUGGGGAGAUUAUCUUGGAUUAUUUGGGUGGAUCUAAUCUAAUUAUAUGAUUCCCACAAAGAGGAUGGAUGAGUCAGAGAGAGUCAAAGUAUGAGAAGAACUUGACCUGGGUCAGGAGCCAAGGAAUAUGGGUGGCCUCCAGAAGCUGGGAAUGGACCUCAGCCAACAACAACAAAAAAUGGGAAUUUCAUUCUAACACUAUAAGGAAAUGGAUCCUCCCUUAGAGCCUCCAGAAAGGAAUUCAGCUCGAUUGACACUUGGAGUUUAUCCUGGUGAGACCCCCCCACUACUGGACUUCUGACCAGAAAUGUAAAACUGUAAAGUAAUAGAUGUAUGUUGUUUUAAACUCCUAAAUUGGUGUUAAUUUGUUUUGCUGUAAUAGGAAAUAAUUAUAGACGCUGAAUGCUUAAACUAAGUUGAUGGAAAGAUGGAUUCAACACUUACAAGGCCCUGGAGAUUGAUGGGACGUGGGGGCUGAAGGAAGGAGAUUAAUCUAGGUCAAUUUACAGGGUUUCUGGGUUGGCAGGCUGUCUUUGGUGAUGCCACCCAGUGGAGGAAAAGGACAAAGACAGGUCUUCUUAGGAUUAAAAAGGUUUACACACUCGCAGGCCUUCCCUACUCCUUAAAAUCAUUAGGAACAGUCCCCGAAAGUCCAUGGGCAGUGAUAUUUGUUACCACCUAGAGUUCUAGAAAUGGAUCUACUCUGUGUAAGCUGAAUGACUUUGGACAGAGCACAGCGCGUCAGUGAAACUUGGCUUCUUCUACUGUGUGGGAUAGGAGGAGCCCCAUCUGCAUGAUUCCUGGGUCAGCCAGGAUGUCGUGGCGUCUGUAACCUCACCCCAGUAACUUUCACCAUUACUUCAUUUCAGUCUCCCUUGUCUUAAGCUGUGUGUCUCAAGCAGCACUCUCCAGGGAUACUUCUAUUUAGAUAUAAAGAUUCUUUAGUCUUUCUCUUUUAUCAUUCCACACCCUUACUACGGACUCUUAUCCUUGGUCUUCACAUGCUUUCUUUACCUCUUGCAGACCUGCAUUUCUAUUGACUUCCCUUCCUACCAGCCUAACUUGAAGAGCCAGCACCUCAGUCACUCACUGCUAAUGCCUCUCAUUGCUUACUCCAUCCUCCUUUCCUUCUCUUACUUGGCACAUCUUUCUAUCCAAUCCAUAUAUUUGUAUGUACUACUUAAGAACCAAAAGAUAUGAAACCUAUGCUCUGCAGAUUUAUGAUCUCUGAUCUGUUAAAUCCUCAAGCAGGCUGGAUUUUCUCUUGCAACACUGAUGGAAAGGAGAAGGGAGUUCAAUCUCUAUCCCUUUCCUCAAGACAUCUUUCACACCCCUAACCCUUCCUACACUUGAUAUACAAUCUUACCUAUUUCAAAGAAAAUAUACAGAUCAUCAAUACAGAAUUUUCUCUACUUAGCCCAGCUAACAAAGAUGUCAUUUACAUCCACAAUCACCUUGACUUCCUUUCCUCUGAUCCCGGUGGGUCAGAGCAAACCCAUUCAUCAGCUUUCAGGGUCCCCAAGGAGUCCUCCCUUCUAUUUACAGAGACUGUAUUCUGUUGAAUAUCCAUUCUCUUUUAUCUUCAACCUCUCAAUUUCUAUACUUUCCCCACAAAAGAUUUUAAAAAAUGCUAAAAUAAUAAAAUUUAAAUAUCACCACGGAUCCUACCACCUUCUCUGACCUCUUUACUAGGGCCAUAUAGACCUGACAGUAGAAACGAUGUAGAGUGGCCAGUGCCUCAGGGCUUCCUUUAGGAGACCUGGGGAGGAAUCUCUACAAUUCCAGGAAAUGUGUGUCACUGUUAUCAAAGAACAACCAGUUUUGCUUCUCUUGAAUAAAGACAUAGGAUUCCACCUUGCUUCAUAGUAUGAUGAUAUUUAGAAAUUAACAAGAUAGUGACCUUUUCUAUCUUACGUGGGCCAAAAGAUACU